UUAUCGCUGAAUAUUUUUUAUUCUAAAAAUGAACCCGAAUUUUGGGAUAGGUCAAAUCCAUUUUCGCCUGUUAAAUGCCCUGCAUAUUCGUGUUCUCCGGGCCGGAGAACUCUGUUAGGGUCUCCUCACAUUGUUUCUGUCGCUGCGAACAAUCAUAGUGAAAAAUAAGGAGGAAAAAGAGUUUGGAAUUGCAAUGGAGAUCGAGAAAGCAGUUUCGGAGAGCGGCGACAAAAGAUUGCAGGCAAAAUUCAAGCAAUCAAUUUACGUCAUUCAAAGAACUCUUUCGCUUUAUUCGUUUGAUGAAGUUGCCUUUAGUUUUAAUGGCGGGAAAGACUCAACGGUUUUGCUGCAUCUUCUGCGGGCAGGCUAUGCCUCUGUGGAAGCAAUGGGAGUAAGAGACAGUGAACAUGUACAGUCUAAACCAAAUCACCCAAUAAGGACAAUCUAUUUUGAGAGUCCUGGGGCAUUUCCAGAAAUCAAUGCAUUCACAUAUGAGACUGCAGAAACCUAUAACUUGCAGAUGGAAAUAAUUCGGCUUGACUUUAAGUCAGGUCUAGAGGCAUUGCUAAAACGAAAUCCUGUCAAAGCAAUCUUCCUUGGUACUCGUAUUGGCGACCCUAAUGCGGUUGGACAGGAACAGUUUUCCCCAAGCUCUGCAGGAUGGCCACCUUUCAUGAGAGUGAAUCCAAUUUUGGAUUGGUCAUACAGAGACGUAUGGGCCUUUCUUCUUACUUGCAAGGUCCCAUAUUGCAAGCUUUAUGAUCAAGGAUAUACCUCGAUUGGGAGUGUUCAUGACACAGUACCAAAUGGAUUGUUGUGCAUUGAGAACUCAUCUGGACUCAAGGAAAAAUUUAGACCUGCAUAUUUAUUGGCUGAUGGAAGGUUGGAAAGAGCAGGAAGGAUGAAAAGGUCAUCCUUUAGAGGUCGUGAUACUAAGGUGGCUAUAAGCAAUGGAAUGAAUGAUGCUUUGCCUUCUGAUAAUAGCACAUUAGUGGCAUCAAUAAUUGGUGUAGGGGAUGAGAUUCUGCAAGGUGCUGUAGAGGAUCACCUUGGAUCUUCCUUGAGCAGGAAGCUUCACUCCAUAGGUUGGGCAGUCAACUAUCGCGCAGUGGUUCCAAAUGAUAUUGAUGCCAUAUCUGAAGCAGUUGAACAGCGGAUUCAAGCUAGCGAUAUGGUGUUUAUCUUUGGUGGUGUGGGACCUAUUCAUUCUGAUGUUUCGGUGGCUGGAGUUGCAAAAGCUUUUGAUGUUCGCUUGGCACCUGAUGAGGAAUUUGAAGAGUAUCUUAGACAGUUUGUAGGCUCUGAUUAUGCUGGUGAUCAGAAUGAGAUGGCUCGGCUACCUGAGGGUAUAACUGAAUUGUUGCACCAUGAUGAGCUACCUGUUCCUCUGAUCAAAUGUCGGAAUGUUAUUGUUCUUUCUGCAACAACUGUUCCUGAAUUGGACCUGCAGUGGGACUGUUUAUUAGAAUUGCAAAAAGACAACAAUCUUUUGCAAGUGAAGCCACCUUAUGUGUCAAAAUACUUGCGGACAACAGUCGCAGAACCUGCAGCCGACGGAAAUAGGACGGGUUUCUGGUUUUGGUGCUUCGGUGGAGACUUUUGGGGGCAUUUGCAGGGUUUUGACAGCCACAACAGAUUGAAAUACUUUUUUUGGGGGGCAUUUGCAGGGUUUUGACAGCCACAGAUAUGCUAGUUACUUCAUCUUGUUGGAGAGGAUGCUUGAGGUGCAUGAUCCUCUACAGUUGAUGGUGGUGAAUCCUGAGUGGACUAGAUGGCAGGAAUCAAACUCUAUUGAAGGAAAAUCUACCAAACAAAAGAUCCUUGAUGACAAUUGGUGGUCCACUGUGAGAUACCUUUGCUCUAUCAUUUCUCCUAUUGUAGAUGUCAUCAGAUAUGCUGAUACAGACUCUCCUAGUCUUGGAGAGAUACAUGAGACAUUUGACAGUAUGCUUGGGAAGAUUAAGCAAACAAUUUCGGAUAAGGAUCCUACUUUGGAGUUCUAUGAGCAGAAUAUCAGGCCCAUUGUGACGCGAAGGUGGAACAUAAUGAACACCCCGCUUCAUAUGGCAGCCUAUGCAUUGAAUCCGGAAUGGUAUGCACCAAGGGAUGGAAGGGUGCUUCCAUGUGAUGAUGAUGAGGUUUUAGAUGGGUUCACACGGGCAAUUGAUAAGAUAUAUACAAAGGAGCAGGCUUCCAUACUUCGUGCACAAUUCCUUGACUUCACAAAUCUUCGUGGUCCUACAUUGAGUAAACCACAGGCGAGGUUGGACAUAGCCAUAUUAGCCCAAAAAGACCCUAUUGGAUGGUGGACAUGGCAUGGGAGGGAUACACCACAAUUGAAAUCACUUGCCACUCGCCUACUUUCACAGGUUGCUAGUUCGUCUGCUGCAGAGAGGAAUUGGUCCAUAUAUGGCUUUAUCCACUCUAUCAAGAGGAAUAGACUUACCUCUAGACGAGCGGAGAAGCUAGUAGCUGUGCAUAGUGCUCUUCGACUUCAGGAUCGUCAGACUCCAGAGUAUCGACAGACUCCAGCUUUGCGAUGGGAUGUUGAUCCCGAAGAUGUGGCCCAGGUUGAUGAGGAGGAGACAACACAGGGAUUGGUUGGGAUUCCAUUGGAUGAGGUGGACAUAGACCAUGAUAGUGGGAGCGACUCAGAGGACUCUGAUUUUGAUGCAAUGUUAGGAGAAGCAGUUUAGGGGCAGCAUUAUACUUUGCUUUUUUGUAUUUAGCUUCUGUUUUACUGAGUACUAUUUUGAUUUUCAUAUUGUAAUUGACAAUGCAACUAUAUGGCAGCAGUGUAGCCUUUGGGCAUUUUGACAUUUUGUAUGUUAUUUCUUUAAAGUUUAAUAUCUAUUAUGAUAUGCAUA